AAGAUAACGAAUAAACAGACAUUUAAAAUAGCAUGAUCCAACCAGAUGGCAACAACAAUAGCGUGAUAAUUACGAUUCAUUUUAAACUAUCGAAGUAAAACAGAUGUGAUAUUUUAUUGCUUAAAUGGUUGGGCGAGCUCACAGUCCAUCUGGUAUUAAAUGAUUACUGGAGCCUAUAGACAUCAAUCACCUAAAUUCUGUUAUCCAUCUUGGAACAUGAGUUCUAAAUUAUAGUUUUACACUAAAAUAGCUGCCCCACCGUUCUAACCGAGACGAAUUACUGAUUCACGGCAGAAAUAUGCAGAGCGGUGAUGAUACCUGCUCGUGCGGACUCACAAGACGUUCUACCGCUAGUAAUUAGGCAAAUUAUACGAAUAUAUUUUGUCGGUUUGCCUUUUUUUAUUACACGAUAUUAUUCCUUCACCAUGAAAGUGAACAAUGAAUUCGUGAGCAUUAACUCAACACACCGCUUUUGCUGCGAGACAACAGUGAACAAAACGCGAUUUUGAUUCGAGCGUGGUCAAAGUAGCUUUUUAAUUUUUAAAUCUUCAGUGCCACGAAUUAACAUUGUUCAGCCAUAGAUUUGAAACAUUUGAAUGUUACUGUGCUUUGUCUCUUUCACAUGUAUAUAAAAAAGCGAGUGAGAAAAACAAACCCCUUCGAAAUUCGAUUUUGAAAUUCGACCUCAAAGAAAACACGUUCUGAAACGCGUAAUACCCUAAAAUUUAAAGAUAUUUAUAAUAAAGAAAUUACGUUUUUUUUUAA